rnacentral:rRNA from 1 species
GAUGAACGCUGGCGGCGUGCUUAACACAUGCAAGUCGAACGGACCAGAUUCGUCUGGUUAGUGGCAGACGGGUGCGUAACACGUAGGUGACCUGCCCUCGAGUGGGGAAUAACUCGACUAACGUCGAGCUAAUACCGCAUAAGUUCGCUCUUUCAUUAGGGUGAGUAAAGCAGUAAUGCGCUUGGGGAUGGGCCUGCGGCGGAUUAGGUAGUUGGUGGGGUAACGGCCUACCAAGCCGAUGAUCCGUAGGGGCGUGAGAGCGUGGCCCCCCACAUUGGCACUGAGACACGGGCCAAACUCCUACGGGAGGCAGCAGUGAGGAAUAUUGCACAAUGGGCGGAAGCCUGAUGCAGCAACGCCGCGUGGAGGACGAAGGCCUUCGGGUUGUAAACUCCUUUUCUGAGGGACGAGCAAGGACGGUACCUCAGGAAUAAGUCUCGGCUAACUACGUGCCAGCAGCCGCGGUAAAACGUAGGAGGCGAGCGUUAUCCGGAUUUACUGGGCGUAAAGCGCACGCAGGUGGCUUAGCAAGUCGGACAUGAAAGCUCCUGGCUUAACUGGGAGAGGUGGUUCGAAACUGCUGAGCUUGAGGUUGGGAGAGGGACGUGGAAUUCCCGGUGUAGUGGUGGAAUGCGUAGAUAUCGGGAGGAACACCAGUGGCGCAAGCGGCGUCCUGGCCCACACCUGACGCUGAGGUGCGAAAGCGUGGGUAGCAAACAGGAUUAGAUACCCUGGUAGUCCACGCUGUAAACGAUGACAACUAGGUGUCGGCAGUUUUACACUGGCGGUGCCGAAGCCAACGCGUUAAGUUGACCGCCUGGGGACUACGGCCGCAAGGCUA